GCCUUCGUGGUGUAGUGGCCAGCAAACUCGGCUCGUAUUCGAGAGGUCCGUGGUUCAAGUCCCGGCAAGAGCA
rfam:Stegodyphus mimosarum contig58890, whole genome shotgun sequence.